GUGGGGAAUCUUGCGCAAUGGGCGAAAGCCUGACGCAGCCAUGCCGCGUGAAUGAUGAAGGUCUUAGGAUUGUAAAAUUCUUUCACCGGGGACGAUAAUGACGGUACCCGGAGAAGAAGCCCCGGCUAACUUCGUGCCAGCAGCCGCGGUAAUACGAAGGGGGCUAGCGUUGCUCGGAAUUACUGGGCGUAAAGGGCGCGUAGGCGGAUCGUUAAGUCAGGGGUGAAAUCCCAGAGCUCAACUCUGGAACUGCCCUUGAUACUGGCGAUCUUGAGUGUGAGAGAGGUAUGUGGAACUCCGAGUGUAGAGGUGAAAUUCGUAGAUAUUCGGAAGAACACCAGUGGCGAAGGCGACUCACUGGCUCAUUACUGACGCUGAGGCUCGAAAGCGUGGGGAGCAAACAGGAUUAGAUACACUAGUAGUCC
rnacentral:rRNA from 1 species